UUUAAAUAUAGAAAUUCUGGAACAUUUUAUUAUAAAGGAAUAGUACUUGGAAGCUACUUAAAGAAGUAACUACAUGAGUAAAUAUGAGAAGAAGAUAAUAUGAUUAACAGUAGUAGAUCUUAAAAAGUGGUUUCUGCAGCUUUGGAAAUAUUUGCUCACCAAGACAAACAGCGAUAUAUAUUGGGCAUUUUCCCCAAGAAAUCUCAUCUUGUUCAUUUAAUCUUGUCUGCUCCUCUGAAAAUGCAAACUGAUACUGAGGAAUCAACAUGAGAACUGAACAGGACCUUUGAAAUAUCUGUCUGUGAAGAACUGGAUUUGAAAUCUAUAACAACAACUGGAGUUAGAGAAAGUUGAUAAGAACUCUACCAGAAAAUAUAAACAUGCAAACAAAUGAAUGAGGGCAUGCCCCAUGGAGGAAAAUUCAAAUCUUGCACAAGGUACCAUAGAGAGAUUGGACUUGUUUAACCUGGCGCAGUUCAGAGUGAUCGAGAGUGGAUCAGAGGAGAGAAUGGCUGCUUUAUGUGAACUGAGCCCUUCUGCCACAUUUGAAGUACAUUUCGUCUUCUGCCAGCUUGCAUCAGCUGUCAGAGGGAGCUGCAAAAUGAAAUGAAGAUGCCUUUGACUUCAAAGCAUUGAGAGAGCAAAGAAAGAUUCCUAAAUAGAACAAUGAAGAAUAGAUUUUAAAUAAACUUACCGACAUGGGAAAGGAGAUUCUUUGUGCAGUUACAAGACUAUGAUUUGGGGCCCUUUGCGUGAUUCAAGAAUAUGAUAGAGGAAGAAGAGGAAUGCUUCAUUAAUUGAAAUGUCAGUGAAUGGCCACUGAGCCAAGUGCAUAGAGAGAAAAAGUAUGUGGGUUAUGCCCUUAACAAUCUUAAAAAGCUGAUGAAGAGUUGAGCCACAAAAAUGUCCAGACGUUUCUUGCAAUCUACAAAUUGAGAUUUCUGAGGAGUUUUAUCAUACCAAAAUGACUUAAUUAUGUUCGUGUCUUCUCUUUCUCUCAGGGUUGGUUCAUUCCAGGAGCAGCGCUUCUCUGACUGCCUUUUUUCCUCCAAAUCCUUGCACUGGCAUUCCUCUUAACAAAAGGAAAUCCAAUCACAUAGCUCCAGACACCCUCUCUCUAUUUUUCCAACAUUUUGUUAUAAAAAUUUCCAAACACAUAGAAAGUAAAUAUCCAUGUAGCAACUACCUAGAUGCUACCAUUGAUAUUUUACCUAACUCAUUUUAUCACAUCUCUAACCAUCCACCAUCAAUCCAUCUUGUAAUCUUUUAAUGUAUUUCCAAGUAAAAGCAGGAAUCAUUACUUUACUGUUAAAUACUUCAGCAUGCUUAUCAUUAACUAGAGCUUAAUAUUUAUUUAUUUUUCUCUUGAAGUAAGUUUUAUAUACAAAGGAAUAUAUAUUUUCUAUUUCUAUAAAUGCAUACAUUUACAUCACCCAAACUGCUAUAAAGAUACCGGAUAUUACUAUCACCCAGAAAAUUUCCUCAUCCUUUUCCCAGUCAACACCUUACCUCCACCACCAACAGAGCAAACUACUGUCUUGACUUUUUUCCAUAGAAAUUAGUUUUCCCUGUUUUAGAACUUGACAUAAAAUGGAAUCACACUAAUUUUUGUCUAGCUUCUCUCGCUCUGCACAACAUUUUUUGAGAUUCAUCCAUGGUGUUACAUGUAUCAGUAGUUUAUUUCCCUUUAUGACCGGGAAAUAUUACAUUUUCUGAAUAUUCUGCAGUUUAUCUAUUUUCCUAUUAAUGAACAGUUGUGUUAUUUCUAAUUUGGUAGUAGUAUGGGAUAAAGCAGCUAUAGCCACUCUGUUUUACAAACAUAUGUUUUUAUUUCUUUUGGAUAAAUAUCUAUGGGUGGAAUGCUGGCUCAUAAAGUGUAUGGUUGUUAUAGGAAACUGACAGAUUUUUUACAAAAUUAUUGGGCCGUUUUAUAUUCCCAUCAACAAUAAAUAAAAAUUCUGGUUGUUUCACCUCGUUGACAACAUCUGAUGUUGUCAGUCUUUUUAUUUUAGAUUGUUUUGCAUUUUUACUAUUCCAGUUUUUCCGUCAUCUUUUCUAUGUCUUCAAUCACUCUCUUUCUUCAGGAUUUCUUUUGUCAGCAUUCAAACAUGACGUGAUAUUUUCCUCCUUGAAGAAGAAAGCAAAACAAAAAUUUUGACCAAAUGUCUCCUUCCAGCUAUCAAAUUAUUUCUCUACUCUCGUUAAUAACUAAGCUGCUCCACAUUAUCAAUUAGCUACCUUCACUUGAUCAUUUGAAACUUCCUGACUUCUAGAUGCUAGGGCUCCUUAGCCCUUGGCCUCUCGACCUUCUUAUGUUCUAAUUAUCCACUUUCUUCCAGGAGAAUCAGGUUGACUCCUAAGACUUUCAAAUUAAUCUCUAUGCCAACAAUUCUCAAAUUUGUAUCUCUGUCCUGGACUUCCCUGAGUUUCAUGUGCCUACUUUACAUUUCCACAUGUCUAUGAUUCUGAUAUCUCAAAGUCACCAUGUCUGAUUUUGAUCUUGUGCUCUUGCAAUUAUGCUGCUCCUCCAGGAGUCUUAAUCUCUGCUAGGAUUGUGUAUUCCCUCUUC